rnacentral:misc_RNA from 1 species
GAAGGUGAAGUUUGAACACCAGAGGCCGUCAAGGCUACAAGAGCUCCCUAUCCCGGAAUGGAAGUGGAAAAUGAUCACGAUGGAUUUUAUAAUUGGGUUGCCUUGUACCAUGCGCGGAUAUGAUUCGAUAUGGGUAAUUAUAGACCGCUUAAUUAAAUCAGCUCACUUCUUGCCAGUGAAGAUCACAUAUUCUAUUGCACAGUAUGCCCGACUCUAUAUUCAAGAAAAGUCAGAUUGCAUGGAGUUCCG